AAGGAUCCAUGCAGUCUGCUGGCUUAAAGGGGUGGCGGCUGGAGCAGGAGCAGCUUUAUAGGGGAGGUGGCCUAAUUGGACACUACCACUGCUUGUUAUGUCCAGGAGGGAAACAUUGCGCAAUGAUGAACAAAACGCCAGGGGUAGUAAACAGAACAGGAGAGAGACUGACUGACCUAGCGCUAGCCCGGCCGGACAAAUCCAAGCACUUGUUUCCUGUUUCGGUGUGAUCUGACCCUUGUUCAAAUUUGACAGUGCAGAUAUGGACGGCCAUCCAACAGAAACACUGAUGCACUGUGUUUUGAAAUGUAGAAGUCAUUAUUCCAGCUGUGUGUUUCCACCUAAUUUGAACAAUAUCACACAACAAACACGCAA